rnacentral:rRNA from 1 species
CGUGGCCUACGGGGGGCAGCAGUGGGGAAUAUUGGGCAAUGGGCGCAAGCCUGACCCAGCAACGCCGCGUGAAGGAAGAAGGCUUUCGGGUUGUAAACUUCUUUUGUCAGGGACGAAGCAAGUGACGGUACCUGACGAAUAAGCCACGGCUAACUACGUGCCAGCAGCCGCGGUAAAACGUAGGGUGCAAGCGUUGUCCGGAAUUACUGGGUGUAAAGGGAGCGCAGGCGGAUUGACAAGUUGGGAGUGAAAACUACGGGCUCAACCCGUAACCUGCUUUCAAAACUGUCAGUCUUGAGUGGGGU